GAUGAACGCUAGCUACAGGCUUAACACAUGCAAGUCGAGGGGUCUUAACGGAGCUUGCUCUUGAUAGACGACCGGCGCACGGGUGAGUAACGCGUAUCCAACCUGCCCUUCAUAUUGGGAUAGCCUUCCGAAAGGGAGAUUAAUACCGAAUAACGUAUCAGAAUUGCAUGAUACUGAUAUGAAAGAUCCGUCGAUGAAGGAUGGGGAUGCGUUUCAUUAGGUAGUAGGCGGGGUAACGGGCCCACCUAGCCAACGAUGAAUAGGGGUUCUGAGAGGAAGGUCCCCCACACUGGAACUGAGACACGGUCCAGACUCCUACGGGAGGCAGCAGUGAGGAAUAUUGGUCAAUGGGCGCAAGCCUGAACCAGCCAAGUAGCGUGAAGGAUGACUGCCCUAUGGGUUGUAAACUUCUUUUAUACGGGAAUAAAACACCUUACGUGUAGGGUCUUGUAUGUACCGUAUGAAUAAGCAUCGGCUAACUCCGUGCCAGCAGCCGCGGU
rnacentral:rRNA from 1 species